AACGAACGCUGGCGGCAUGCCUAACACAUGCAAGUCGAACGAGAUCUUCGGAUCUAGUGGCGCACGGGUGCGUAACGCGUGGGAAUCUGCCCUUGGGUUCGGAAUAACAGUUAGAAAUGACUGCUAAUACCGGAUGAUGACGUAAGUCCAAAGAUUUAUCGCCCAAGGAUGAGCCCGCGUAGGAUUAGCUAGUUGGUGGGGUAAAGGCCCACCAAGGCGACGAUCCUUAGCUGGUCUGAGAGGAUGAUCAGCCACACUGGGACUGAGACACGGCCCAGACUCCUACGGGAGGCAGCAGUGGGGAAUAUUGGACAAUGGGCGAAAGCCUGAUCCAGCAAUGCCGCGUGAGUGAUGAAGGCCUUAGGGUUGUAAAGCUCUUUUACCCGGGAUGAUAAUGACAGUACCGGGAGAAUAAGCUCCGGCUAACUCCGUGCCAGCAGCCGCGGUAAUACGGAGGGAGCUAGCGUUGUUCGGAAUUACUGGGCGUAAAGCGCACGUAGGCGGCUUUGUAAGUUAGAGGUGAAAGCCUGGAGCUCAACUCCAGAAUUGCCUUUAAGACUGCAUCGCUCGAAUCCAGGAGAGGUGAGUGGAAUUCCGAGUGUAGAGGUGAAAUUCGUAGAUAUUCGGAAGAACACCAGUGGCGAAGGCGGCUCACUGGACUGGUAUUGACGCUGAGGUGCGAA
rnacentral:rRNA from 1 species